rnacentral:rRNA from 1 species
UACGGAGGGGGCUAGCGUUGUUCGGAAUUACUGGGCGUAAAGCGCACGUAGGCGGCUUGGUAAGCUAGAGGUGAAAGCCUGGAGCUCAACUCCAGAAUUGCCUUUAAGACUGCCGAGCUAGCAGGUGAGAGAGGUGAGUGGAAUUCCGAGUGUAGAGGUGAAAUUCGUAGAUAUUCGGAAGAACACCAGUGGCGAAGGCGGCUCACUGGCUCAUACUGGACGCUGAGGUGCGAAAGCGUGGGGAGCAAACAGG